rnacentral:sRNA from 1 species
GCGGCGGCCGAGAUCGUGCUGGCCACGCUGCGAGAGUGGCUGGAGCAGCACAAGGACAAGGUGGACCGGCUGAUCAUCUGCGUGUUCCUCGAGAAGGACGAGGACAUCUACCGGAGCCGGCUCCCCCACUACUUCCCCGUGGACCUGCCUUCGGGACCCCGCUCCCAGCUCUGAGAGGUCGCCAAAGCCUGCAGCCUGGCCUGGGCCUGGCCACCCCUUCUUUCCGUCCGAGCCCCGCCCCUGAGGAGCCUAAUAAAGAUCACG